AUUAAAUUAUCAUAAUCAAUGUUUUAAAUUUAGAAUUUAAGAAAGAAGUGCGCCUUCAUUUAAUA
rnacentral:tRNA from 1 species